CAAGUGUUCCCACCAUCUAAGCACAUAUUGCAUUGGCCACAAAACAAAUAACAAUGUAAUUUCUUGGUACUUCUUUCAUUUUUCUAGAAUGUGGAAGAUUACACUUAUGAACUUGGCAUGUGAGAGGUCGCUGAGCCUCCUUGUUGAAUCUGAUAAAUUCAUUGUUGAUAUGUUACUUCUUAUUAAAAAAACAAGCCUGGCAAGCAGGAAUGAUAGUGUCAGUCAUAUACUUUCCUUAAAACUUUUUAUUUUUAUUUUUUGGAGAGGAAGAUUGGCCCUGAGCUAACAUCUAUUGCCAGUCUUUCUCAUUUUGCUUGAGGAAGAUUGUCCCUGAGCUAACAUCUGUGGCAAUCUUCCUCUAUUUUGUGUGUGGGACUCUGCCACAGCAUGGCUUGAUGAUCAGUGUGUAGGUCUGUGCCCAGGAUCCAAAUCUGCAAACUCUGGGCCCCUGAAGCGGGGCACGAAAACUUAACCACUACGCCACCAGGCUGGCCCCAAAACAUUUUUAUUAUGGAACUUCCAAACAUACAAAAUUAAAAGUUAUUACAAACUCAUGACAAUUCCCAGAUGCCAUAUUAUCUCAUCUGUAUUUCACUAAGUAUCUUUAAAAGAUAGGAACUAUUUUUAAAAACAUUGUAACCUCAAUACUAUUACACAUAACUACCAUGUAAUUCCUUAGUAUCACAGAUAUAUCUAGCUAGUCCUUAAAUUUCCUCAAAUGUUUAAUUUUCUUAAUAGUUGAUUUGUUUGAAUCAAGAACCAAACAAGUUCUACAAGUUUGCUCCCCUCCUUUUUUUCUCAAAUCUUUUUUUGUUGGUUUUCUGUGUGUGUUAUGUAUGUGUGUAUUCUAUUAUUUGGGCUUAACAAUGUAUCCCAGAAAUACCUCUGUAUCAGGAAAGAGAUCAUCCUCAUUUCUUUUGACGACUACCUUACUCCAUUGUUUGGAUGCUCAUGGUCAUGCAAACAGUUCUUCGUACACAUUCAUUCGGGUUGUUCCCAGAAUUUUGCCAUUACAUGCAGAGAAUAGCCAUGUGCAUAUGUUUUUUAAUACUUUUACAGUGUAUCUUUAGGAAGGUUUCCUACAGGUAGGACUGCUGGGUCAAAGGAAAAAUCUUGAUUAAUUUGUUAUUUGU
rnacentral:lncRNA from 1 species